GGAAGUGCAGAAGUUCAGCUGGAUAUAUUCUGCAGCACAGGCUGACUGUUUCAGGGCAGGAGUGGGGGGAAGCUGAUGCAGAGAGGAAAAUGAAGAUUUCAGAGACAGAAUAUUUAUGUUCUCCCUUGGGAGAGAAAAGGAACCGCAGGCCCUGGCAGAAGCAGUUUAUGACAGGUUUAAGUCAGGACUCUCUUUAAAAGAAACAAGAUCUCACUGCUGGCAGCACAUGUCUGGUGAACUCAUCCUGCAAGAGGAGCAGAACUGGUUCCUGAGCUGGAUAGGCUCUCAAUAUCAUCAUGUACAUCCAUUUAUCAUCAAGAACUACAAAACACUGUAACCAGUUUGUCUUACUGACAGUCUUUGACAUACAGAAAAUCCAGGCAAAGUUUUCUUUACAUACUUUCCCAGUGUAUUAGUGCAGAUAUUAAUUAAUUAACAAAGAGCUUGAAUAACCUAAAAUUUCUGCACAAGUUUUCAGUUAGCAAAAUAAGGGUUUGUACUCUUUCUGCGAGGAGCAAUACUAUUCAUUUCAGGGCCUUCAGGUAUUUAAACUUGGUCAUUAUAUAUAAAUAUGAUAUGAGAGAAAGUACAUACUUAUUAUAAUAUAGUCUAGCUAAAAUUAAACACUGAUCCUUCAGUAUGUAUUUAUCAUAGGCCAUUAAUUUUUAAGAACUGUUUUCAGCUUGAUGUUGGAUGGAAAUAAGAAGAAAAUGUCAUUUCCAGAACAAGCAUUGCAAAUAUAAGGCCACACAUUUAAUACACACAGAGUUUUAUAUCUUCUAUGGUAAAAUGCCAUAUAUAACCUGAGACAGUCCUAGAAAUCAAAAAGUUGUGUUGCUGCUUUUUCAUUCAAGAAAACUGAAGAACAGUGACUGAAGUGCUUACCUCAGUACAUCAGAGAGGCACAAGAGAUAAAUGCUACUUGCAAAAAUACCUUGUGUGGAAAAAUGUUAAUUAAUUGAAGACAAACUUCGUCAAGGAAUUUGACAACUCUUGAUAGUCUUACCAUUUGGAAAGACUAUUUAAACAUGAUGGCAUUAGAAAAUAACAACCAGCUGGAGUAUCUACCUGAAAAAUGGGAAAGGAGUGUAACCAGUUGAUUUUGAAUGUGUAUUCCUGCCUAGAUUUCCAUGGGUAAAAGAUGGUUGGGUCAUUCAUCAUAGUUGCUGAACUAUUCUCUUUAAAGGGAAUUGUUUCUAAGAACACCAAUAGUGUUAGUGUUCAGGAAAUGAAGGUGACCUUGUCUCUUUUCUUUCUUUAAUUAGCUGUCAUUAGGGUUAGUUGUAGCUAUAGUUAGAAUAGGCAAUUGCUUGUGGUAGCUUGUGGAAAAUUCCACAGCUCCUCUCUGUAAAAUGAAUUUUAUUAUUAUUACCAUUUUUACUAUUAUUACUGUUAUUACUAUUACCAUUAUUCAUAUCAAUAUCAAUAUCAAUAUCAUAUUAUUAAUAAUGAUAAUAAAGACAACAUAAAAAUUUUGAAGUUGCGGUUAAUGGCUGUUCAAAGGCAUGCUAGACUAGAAGAAAUUGUGUGUUCAAUUCUGCUUACCUGAUCGAACUGUUUGGAUAAAGAUGCAUCAAAUGGCAACAUCCCCAAAGUAGUGCUUCUUUCCCAAGAAAGAAUCCAUGCUGCCAAAAGGGAAUUAAUUCAUAGACAACUGAAAAAUAUUCUCAUGAUAAUGGUGGAUAAGAGAUAUAAAGUAUUAGGAAAUCAGUCAUGCACAACACCAGGCAGAGUUCAAAACACCUCAGAACAGAGGGAGUUUAAAAGAUCCAAGGAAAGUCUCUUUAUCUGUAAUAAAGUCUGUGAAAAUAUCUUUCUGCUUGUAUCACUCUCUUGCUCUCAUUCCAUCUAGACAGUGAAGGCUCCUUCUAAAGUUACAUUUAUGCUUAAAUUUAUACUGUGGAACCCAUGAGUGCUUACCAUGGCUGAGGCUAAGGUAAACCACUGCAAAAAGACUUAGGUAUGUGCAUGUAUCCUAGUCUGUCCUGAGUCUGAUGCAAAACACACCCAUAUUUGUGUGCCAAUGUGCAGCGAUGCUGCCUUUCUGUGGAAUGUGAGAUAUUCUGACAGUUACUGAAGGUAUACUCCAGAGUGGGAUAGUGUGUACAAACAGGCAUAAAGGUAUUGCACACAAUGCAAAAACAAAC